CGAUACGUACUCACCUCCCAGGGGUCACUUCCGUCGGGCUGUAGACCUGUGCUGAGUUAAUUCAAGCCGGCCUGGAAGUGGGCCUGAAACCUCCGGUAGGCACGGACACCCGCGGGGCUGCGGGGAUCGGAUUAGAACCACCGAGGGAAGGCUCAUUAAGAGUCUAGAGAGGGGCUGGGGAGAUAGCUCAGUCGGUAGAGUGCUUGCCUUGUAAGCACAAGGCCCUGGGUUCGAUCCCCAGCACCCAAAAAAAAAAAAAAAAAAAAAAAAAAGAGUCUAGAGAAAGAGCGAAGAGCUAUUUCCUUCCGGCUGGGACUCCAAUAGCUCGCUACUGGACAUGCGUAGGACUCACGAACAAAAAGGAAGCGGACGUACCAGGCGUCUCCGCUUUUACUUUCCACUGAUUGGCCUGGACCCUGUCAUUCACUCCUCCGAGCUUUACGAGCCGGAAGUCUGGUUUAGGCUCUGAGAGAAGGUCGGGCCCUGGAAGUUGAAAAGCUCCAGACCCGCACCUUUCUUCCAACCAGGCUCAACUACAGAAGAGACUGGUUUUUUGCAGGAGUGAAGACACCAACCCCAAAUCCCAAGAGCUGUCUGACUGGAGGUCACUGAGAAUUUUGACAGAAAUAUUAAGGGCAAACAUGGGAGUCUGUAUCCUAAAAACAUUUAUUUCCAGGAAACUGGAUGGUUUCUAUUGACUGGCGACCUGGUCUUACCCCUUCUCUCUCCAGCAGGAUUAAAAGGCAAGUCAGUGGACCCUGGAGUGGUAAAUCUAUCAGAUUCCUUCUAUAAAGGUGGUUCUCUUGCUGCUACAGAACUCUGCUGUACACGCCUAUGCCCAGCUCCCGCCCACAACAGUCCUCCCUUCCCAGAAAUAGGGCACACAUUUGAGUACAAUACACUUUAUUAGAGGGGCAGGCCUGCUAAUAGACUUAGAUGAUGCUCACAGCUGGAGAGGCUGCUGAUAUGCCCUUCCUGAUGACCAGAAUCCACAGGCAGAGCUGUAAUGCACCUUCCCCAUACCCAGCUCUCUACAGUAGUAAAGUAGGGCCCCUGUAAGGCUGGAGUCAGUGCCGGCAAAGCAGGGCUGUGUGACUGGUUGUGAUCCAAAACUCAGGAGAGGAUGUCAAAGGGCAGCUGUGGAGGAGAGGCAAGAGUGUUCAGUGUUCCAGUGCCCAUCAGCCAAAGCUGCUUCUGUCCUCACUCUCAGUGCAACGGUAGUGUGUGCAUGAGCCAUGGGUCAAGGGCAGCCCCUCACUUUUUAUCCUGGUUGGGUUGGAUAAGCCCAUAUUCCACUGAUUUCCCUAAGCAGGCUGCAGCAGCCCGAGUAAUAGGGUCUUCCUCGCCCUUAGCCAGGACUGACAGGAUCUCUAGCACCUCACUCUCCAUCAGGGUGCUGGCAAUCUCCCUGGAGGCCUCCACCAUAUUCAACACCACCACAACACCCCGGUGCUGCAGUUCCUGGUUGGGACUCAGAAGCAGGGCCUGUAGGAUCUCCAGCCAAUGUGUGGUCUGCAAGAAAUAGGGCAGGUUUGACUAUACAACAACAGGCCCAAUCCUACUGAACACACCUACACUCUAGAACAUCCCCCACCAAUAUCAUGAGGGUUCACCCAUCCUCCCCCGCUGAGAACAGCACUGACCACUUGGGGGAUGCGGCUGCAGAGCGAGGGUCUCAUUGAGGUGAGCAUGGCCAGGCCUCCAGCAGCUGCCCGCCGUAACAAUUCAUCAUCUUCUCCACUGUAUAGCACCAGCAGCUUUAGCCGGUCAUUGCCCUGGGCUUCAAAGAGGUCCUGCACCUGUGGCCAGAUGGGGGAAGAGGAGCAUGUUAUCUGGGUGCAAAGCCCAUCCAGGGCACAGGGCCAACUGCAUCUCUGCAUGACAUGACAACUUGGACCAACCCUCACCUCCUUGCUCAUGGCCAAGUUACACAUGCACUCUGUGGCUGCCCGGCGGAUCAUCUCAUGCUCCUCAAACAUGUAACCCUCGAUCAUGGGCACAGCUUUCUCCUUUAGGAUCUUCUGUCUGAACACAGAGGUGGAACAGUCAGCAUCAACAGGGCUUCUAUAACCACCUCCCAGCCAACAGACACAUCCCUUGAGCCAGGAGUUUCCCUUGAGAAUAUCUAUUGACUCUGCUGUACCAGAUGUGAACUGCAGUUGUUUUUACCCUUCUGACUAGGCCUACGAAAUAGCAUAAGACUGUGGAAAAUGCUCAAAAGCAGGAGGCAGGAGACCAGAAUGGUGGUGAUACCAGUGCUAACCCCUGACAUGUGAGCACUUAACCUGUUCAGCUGUUUGGAUUAUUUUACUUACUCCUCACUACAACCCCACUGUGAAAGCAGGCUUGACAACACUCCCUGCUCAGAUGCUAUUCACCUGAGGUCUCUCAUUGAGUUACCCAAACUCUUGCUGAAGCACCUGUUAAGAGUUAGACAUUGUGCUGGGCCCUGGGGCCAUGGAAGUAAGUGAGAAAAGGGAAAGGGAAAGGGAGGUGAACUCAGGACCCUAAUGGACACAAAAUGCUGAGGGACUCUGAGGAACCCACCCACAUCAGUAUCAUUCACUCUGUAGGAAGCAAUUCCUGCUGGUCACUAAUAAUGUCCUUCCAUGCCAUAUCCAACCCUGAUAUCUGGCAUGACAACUACUGAGUCAUGUUUUAUAAGCAAAAGGCUCAGCAUCAGGAAGAAAUAUGUAAACCAGCUUACCUUGCCUCCCCCCUGAGCAACCACGGUGCCUCGUUCCUCCACCUCUUCCACCAAAGCCAGAAAGACCCUGUGGGGAGAAGGCAGUAGUGGGUGGAGGGGUCUGGGGUUCUGACAGGCAGAUACUCUAUUCUUGGGCUCAACAAAGAAAGGCAGGCAAGUGGUGGCCCUUGCUCCAAGAGGCCCACAGUCCCAGGACCUCUUCCACCUGCAGUCACACUAGCAGCCCAACGAGGUCUAAGAGUUGGGAGAGAUCUCACCCAACCCAAGGCAUUUCACCUGGAGAGCAGCUCUCUGCAGGAAUUAGUCAGCACCGGGCUCUCGGUCUUCACCAUACAUGUCAUGGCUGACACCACACCUGCUGCCAGUAGCUUCUUCACCCGAGCCCUCACAAAGCUUGGUUUGUCCUGGAGAAGGAUAUAGCUUAGGAGGGGCCUUGGCUGACCAGACAGGGAAAGGGAGCCCUUCUCACAGCAGAAAUUGAUGAACAUGGAAACAGCCAGCUGGUCUCAACAACAAAGAAACCCCAAGCCUCUUCUAGUGUACCCCUUACCUUAGGGUGCUGCUCAGGCACAUGUUGCUUAGCAUAUUUGGCUAGCUCCACCAUCUUGGGGUCAGGCUCCUCAUAGUCAUAGCUGUUGGUGCAAUUCACCAGUGCUGAAGCCACUGCAAAGAGCACCGACCUCUCCUCGGACUGCCAGGAACAGAGGAAGGUUCAGCUGGCCAGUCCAGGACAGAGUGGUGAAUGCUGCUAGUUCCAGGGCCCGAUUCCACCCUCAGCUGUUCCACCUGGACAUCAGGGUGAAUCUGGGAACCUCCCAAGACCCCAGACUUAGGAAGCUUACAAACUUGACCUCCCCAACUCCUCCAAAAAGCUCAUCUUUCCUGACACUGCUGGUGCCCAGGCCACAUAGGUACUCAGGCUGCCAGCUCUUGCUCCCUGGAGUUGCAAUAUCACUUCUAAGACCUGCCAAACUGUAUACUAAGUGGUGUCCCCAGGGUGACAGCAGGAACCCACAGAGCUACCUUGCUGAACUGGAACAGAGCCUUCAGAGCAGCCUCAUCCUCCACAAACUCUUCUUUUACAUCAGCAUCAAAGGUAAGGUAAGCCAGGCCCUCCACCGCCCAGCGCCGAGUGCCUGCAUCAAUCUGGUCAUUGCAUAGCCACCUGGGGACAUGCAGGGGAGUGAAUGACCAUCUGAACUGGGGAGUUGGAAAGACUAUAUUAGGGUAAAGAAAAGUCAGGGGCUUAGGCUUCCUGUCAGCAUGCAGAAACAGUUAAUGUGCCAGAAUCCAGAAGAGUCUGCCUAGGGGAGAGAAGUCCCUUCCUGGGACAGGGAGCCCUCCACCCAGAUUCCCCCUGACCCCCCAAGCUUUGACAGGUGUGGAGCCACAGCAACACACACAACUCACUUUCGACACUGCUUGGCCAGCUUCAAAGUGGAGCCUUCAGCAAAUUGCUUCAUGCUAAAGUCAGUCCCUCCAGCUGAGCCAAGCUUGCAGAGUCCCUGGAAAAAGAAGAUGCGACCCAUUACCUGGACCCUGGGAUGGAGACAGGAGCUGACCACCUCCAUGCCUGGCUUGGGAUUCCUACCAAAUCCUCUGCUGCGGCUCUUGAAGUCAGAUACUCAAAUCAGCACCUCAGCAUGAAGCAAUAUGAUCACCUGUUGAGGUGGCCACAUGACAUAGUCUGGUAGAGACUGGCUUCCUGGGCCCCACACCUUCCCAGUCUACACUGAGAAUUGUUCUGUUCCAUUCCAGGUCAUACAAUAAACCUCUUUUUAAGUGGAGCUAAGAUGUAUGUGGGGAAAAGAUAGGUACUUUAGCACAGCCUUAUGGGACGCAGAAAUCCAAGAGUAAGUGACCCAAGGAGAAAGGACAGCUUCCACAAGUCCAUAGACACAGUAGGUUCAUGGAAGGCUAUACAAUGCCCAAGCCACCAGCUCCUGAGGAUACUGCCUGAUUCCUGCAAACCCAGCCUUUCCACACAGCCUUUCUCACUAGCAAGGGGGACAGUAUGUGACACCGUAUAUUCCCAACUCUCCUUUUUGUACCUGACUUGACUGUGGUGGGAGGAACCAGGCCCAGGCCCUACACAUAAUUUCACCUAGAAGGUGCUAAGACUGCAUAUGAGACCCCAGCCAGGUCAGCACCCCUGCUCAGCUGCCUCCAUGCCCAACCUCAGUUUGCCCAUCUUUGUCAAUGAAUCUUUGUCAAUGAAUCUUUUAUUUUAUUUAUUUAUAUGUGGUGCUGAGUAUUGAACCCAGGGCUUCACACAUGCCAGGCAAGCACUCUACCACUGAGCCACAACUCCAGCUAGCUUGCCCAUCUUACCACCAGUGCCCGGAUGCGGAUGCUAUCCUUCUCACUACGCUUAUACAGGUCCUUUAGCAGCGAGACACCAUUGGCAGUGAUGAAUGAGGCCCGCUUGGCCUUGCCGGCUGCAUGGAUCAAAGCCUCCACAGCCACCAGCUGCUCUUCCUCCUGCUCAGAGGCACACAGAGCAAUCACACUCUCCAUGACACCACUCAGCUCCAAAGCCCGGUUGCCAGCAUCACAUGGGCCCUGCAGGAGGCAGGACACUGUCUGGAUGGCCCGUAGCUUCCCGGCCAGCCCUUGGCCCUCAAACCAGCUCCUGAGGGGAACAGAGUUGACAGCUGUCACACCAAGGCACGCAUAAAGCCAGGUACAGUGGCAUACAACUGUAAUCUCAGUGACUCAGGAGGCUAAGACAGAAGG